rnacentral:lncRNA from 1 species
AUGCCCUGGGACUGUGGGUCACGCGAUGGUAAUGACAGAGCUGCCCGGUUUGUGUCCGCAUCAUGUCCAAUACACACAUGCUGCCUAGAGGACACAAACCAAUCAAGGCCUCCAGUCCAGCUGUCUCCAGCACCAUGGUCUUGAGGGAACAGGACAUGCACUCCAGCUACUCAAGGUGUUUUUGAGCCCUGGCUGACAGCCCAGCUUUUACAUACAGUGGUUUCAGAAGUUUAGACGUAUCACCCCUGUUCCCAA